AUUGAACGCUGGCGGCAUGCUUUACACAUGCAAGUCGAACGGUAACAGGCCUUCGGGUGCUGCCGAGUGGCGAACGGGUGAGUAAUGCAUCGGAACGUACCCAGAGGUGGGGGAUAACGCAGCGAAAGCUGUGCUAAUACCGCAUGCGAUCUGAGGAUGAAAGCGGGGGACCGAGCAGCAAUGUUUGGCCUCGCGCCUUUGGAGCGGCCGAUGUCGGAUUAGCUAGUUGGUGGGGUAAAGGCCUACCAAGGCGACGAUCCGUAGCUGGUCUGAGAGGACGAACAGCCACACUGGGACUGAGACACGGCCCAGACUCCUACGGGAGGCAGCAGUGGGGAAUGUUGGACAAUGGGCGCAAGCCUGAUCCAGCAAUGCCGCGUGAGGGAAGAAGGCCUUCGGGUUGUAAACCGCUUUUGGCAGGAACGAAACGGUGUCCGCUAAUAACGGGCGCUAAUGACGGUACCUGCAGAAUAAGCACCGGCUAACUACGUG
rnacentral:rRNA from 1 species